rnacentral:rRNA from 1 species
GAUGAACGCUGGCGGCGUGCCUAAUACAUGCAAGUCGAACGCUUCACUUCGGUGAAGAGUGGCGAACGGGUGAGUAAUACAUAAGUAACCUGGCAUCUACAGGGGGAUAACUGAUGGAAACGUCAGCUAAGACCGCAUAGGUGUAGAGAUCGCAUGACCUCUAUAUGAAAGGUGCUACGGGACUGGUAGAUGAUGGACUUAUGGCGCAUUAGCUGGUUGGUAGGGUAACGGCCUACCAAGGCGACGAUGCGUAGCCGACCUGAGAGGGUGACCGGCCACACUGGGACUGAGACACGGCCCAGACUCCUACGGGAGGCAGCAGUAGGGAAUUUUCGGCAAUGGGGGAAACCCUGACCGAGCAACGCCGCGUGAAGGAAGAAGUAAUUCGUUAUGUAAACUUCUGUCAUAGAGGAAGAACGGUGGAUAUAGGGAAUGAUAUCCAAGUGACGGUACUCUAUAAGAAAGCCACGGCUAACUACGUGCCAGCAGCCGCCGUAAGAC